CGAUCGCCACCCCCGCCGCAGCCGGAGCUGGGGACCAGGCUCCCCCUUCCCCGCCGGGGCAGGAUGGAGAGGAGCCCUAGCGCUGACGAUUACAUAAAUUGUGUGGCUCUUCCCUGAUGCUCCAUAAAUGGCCACUGGUCCCAAAUUAGCAUGUGGGUACUAUGAUUGAAGAAUAUGAAGUCCUUAGUUAUAAUGUUUGUAACCAAGUUCAACAGCAUUUAAAUAAAUUUCUUCUGGAUGCGACAGUUUAAAGACAUCUGUUGGGUUGGGUUAAGUAACUCUGGCCUUCGAAUGCAACUGCUCAGACUUUCUUCAAAACAGCAAAGUUCCUCUCUGUUGUAGAUUACCCUGUAUUAUUGUCAGUCCUUUGUUGAUAUAUUUGUGGUACCUGUCUCUCUCUCUGUUUAAAAGCAGGAGUAUUCUGAGAUUCUGAUCCUACUCAGCAGUAGUUGCAUUGACACUCUGUUUGCAAGCAGCUGGUUACUAGAGGCUGAAGCCAAUGUCAUCAUUUUGUUUGUGUUGUCAUGCUGAGUCCAAACUUUGCCAUUUAAAUACAACCAGAUGUUCCUUAGCAGAGCCAUUUUGAAUGCAGAAUAUUACAGUACAAGCCCAUCAGUGCUGAUCCCACUCUUCCACCUUUGCUUGUAGUGCACUCCUGUUACUUUUCUCUUAAUUACUGAAUUACCCUGAAACGUUUGUACAAUACAAAUAAAUUUGGACCUUUAAUAAAAGUUCUUUGCUAUUUUAUUU